CUGUAGAUACGUUUAUAUGCAGCAACAGGGUUGACAGUUACUCUUUUAAGAGUUAAAACCAAUGUUGCUGACUCAAAUCAAAGUGUUUUAUAGGGAACGUCUGUCUUUUAGCACGAGAACUGAGAGACGACUUCUUUGAACAACAAGAUGG